GAACCGCAUGGUUCUGCAAUGAAAGACGGUCUUGCUGUCACUUAUAGAUGGACCCGCGCCGUAUUAGCUAGUUGGUAAGGUAACGGCUUACCAAGGCAACGAUACGUAGCCGACCUGAGAGGGUGAUCGGCCACACUGGAACUGAGACACGGUCCAGACUCCUACGGGAGGCAGCAGUAGGGAAUCUUCCGCAAUGGGCGAAAGCCUGACGGAGCAACGCCGCGUGAGUGAUGAAGGUCUUCGGAUCGUAAAACUCUGUUAUUAGGGAAGAACAAGUGCGUAGGUAACUAUGCGCACCUUGACGGUACCUAAUCAGAAAGCCACGGCUAACUACGUGCCAGCAGCCGCGGUAAUACGUAGGUGGCAAGCGUUAUCCGGAAUUAUUGGGCGUAAAGCGCGCGUAGGCGGUUUUUUAAGUCUGAUGUGAAAGCCCACGGCUCAACCGUGGAGGGUCAUUGGAAACUGGAAAACUUGAGUGCAGAAGAGGAAAGUGGAAUUCCAUGUGUAGCGGUGAAAUGCGCAGAGAUAUGGAGGAACACCAGUGGCGAAGGCGACUUUCUGGUCUGCAACUGACGCUGAUGUGCGAAAGCGUGGGGAUCAAACAGGAUUAGAUACCCUGGUAGUCCACGCCGUAAACGAUGAGUGCUAAGUGUUAGGGGGUUUCCGCCCCUUAGUGCUGCAGCUAACGCAUUAAGCACUCCGCCUGGGGAGUACGGCCGCAAGGCUGAAACUCAAAGGAAUUGACGGGGACCCGCACAAGCGGUGGAGCAUGUGGUUUAAUUCGAAGCAACGCGAAGAACCUUACCAAAUCUUGACAUCCUUUGACCGCUCUAGAGAUAGAGUCUUCCCCUUCGGGGGACAAAGUGACAGGUGGUGCAUGGUUGUCGUCAGCUCGUGUCGUGAGAUGUUGGGUUAAGUCCCGCAACGAGCGCAACCCUUAAGCUUAGUUGCCAGCAUUAAGUUGGGCACUCUAAGUUGACUGCCGGUGACAAACCGGAGGAAGGUGGGGAUGACGUCAAAUCAUCAUGCCCCUUAUGAUUUGGGCUACACACGUGCUACAAUGGACAGUACAAAGGGCAGCGAAACCGCGAGGUCAAGCAAAUCCCAUAAAGCUGUUCUCAGUUCGGAUUGUAGUCUGCAACUCGACUACAUGAAGCUGGAAUCGCUAGUAAUCGUAGAUCAGCAUGCUACGGUGAAUACGUUCCCGGGUCUUGUACACACCGCCCGUCACACCACGAGAGUUCGUAACACCCGAAGCCGGUGGAGUAACCUUUUAGGAGCUAGCCGUCGAAGGUGGGACGAAUGAUUGGGGUGAAGUCGUAACAAGGUAGCCGUAUCGGAAGGUGCGGCUG
rnacentral:rRNA from 1 species